rnacentral:rRNA from 1 species
CCUCCUUUCGGCAGCAGUGGGGAAUAUUGCACAAUGGGGGAAACCCUGAUGCAGCGACGCCGCGUGAGUGAAGACGUCUUUCGGUAUGUAAAGCUCUAUUAGCAGGGAAGUAAAUGACGGUACGUGAUUAAGAAGCCCCGGCUAACUACAUGCCAGCAGCCGCGGUAAUACGGAGGGGGCAAGCGUUAUCCGGAUUUACUGGGUGUAAAGGGAACGUAGACGGCAGCACAAGUCAGGAGUGAAAUGCCGGGGCUGAACCCCGGAACUGCGUUGGAAACUGUGCAGCUAGAGUGCAGGAGAGGUAGGCGGAAUUCCUAGUGUAGCGGUGAAAUGCGUAGAUAUUAGGAGGAAUACCGGUGGCGAAGGCAGCUUACUGGACUGCCACUGACGUUGAGGCUCGAAAGCGUGGGGAGCAAACAGGAUUAGAUACCCGUGUAGUC